GACGAACCGUGCGAACGUUGUUCGGAAUCACUGGGCUUAAAGGGCGCGUAGGCGGCUCUCUUGGUCGGGGGUGAAAUCCCCCAGCUUAACUGGGGAAGGGCUUACGAUACCGGGGGGCUCGAGGGAGGAAGGGGCGGUCGGAACUGUCGGUGGAGCGGUGAAAUGUGUUGAUAUCGACAGGAACGCCGGUGGCGAAAGCGGACCGCUGGCCCUCUUCUGACGCUGAGGCGCGAAAGCCAGGGGAGCGAACGGG
rnacentral:rRNA from 1 species